AAAAAGUGUUUAAAUACCCUGUAAUUAUUCGACUUAGAAGGUUUCGUAACCAACAUCGGUAAUUGUCCGUAACAGGAAAACGAGAAACUAAUUGCACACGAAGAGACGCAGUAAUUAUCGACUAACUCCUUUGGCACAGAAAUGGACGUAAUAGUACGUCAACGAUCUCGAAAGCGUUAAUACUGUUGGUAAAUGUAAGUGACAGACAUGAGAAAAUAUUAUUAGAAAGAAUUUCGAGUUGAAUUAAAAACACAUUAGGCACUUAUAUACCUUUUCGUUUUGUAAAACUAAGUUAAUAUGUGAAAUAGUUGCGUGCGGAUUAGGUACACUGUCGCUCGUGAAUCUAAUAAUGAUAAAUUAAUAACAAACCAACGAUCGAAAGUAUCGCUCACCGUUUUCUUAUGGAAUUAGCAAAUGUAGGAAGAUUGUUUAUUUAUAAUGUUAACGAUGGCAGGUUACAUACACGUACACAUAUUCAAAAGAAAUCGAAUACGGCGUAAUCGUUGUCAAAAG